rnacentral:rRNA from 1 species
UAGGGAAUCUUCGGCAAUGGACGAAAGUCUGACCGAGCAACGCCGCGUGAGUGAAGAAGGUUUUCGGAUCGUAAAACUCUGUUGUUAGAGAAGAACAAGGACGUUAGUAACUGAACGUCCCCUGACGGUAUCUAACCAGAAAGCCACGGCUAACUACGUGCCAGCAGCCGCGGUUAUACGUAGGUGGCAAGCGUUGUCCGGAUUUAUUGGGCGUAAAGCGAGCGCAGGCGGUUUCUUAAGUCUGAUGUGAAAGCCCCCGGCUCAACCGGGGAGGGUCAUUGGAAACUGGGAGACUUGAGUGCAGAAGAGGAGAGUGGAAUUCCAUGUGUAGCGGUGAAAUGCGUAGAUAUAUGGAGGAACACCAGUGGCGAAGGCGGCUCUCUGGUCUGUAACUGACGCUGAGGCUCGAAAGCGUGGGGAGCAAACAGG